GCCUGGGUGGCUCAGUCGGUUGAGCGUCUGACUCCUGAUCUGAGGGUCGUGGGAUCAAGCCCCGUGUCAGGCU